rnacentral:rRNA from 1 species
UACGUAGGGUGCAAGCGUUUAAUCGGAAUUACUGGGCGUAAAGCGUGCGCAGGCGGUUAUGCAAGACAGAUGUGAAAUCCCCGGGCUCAACUUGGGAACUGCAUUUGUGACUGCAUAGCUAGAGUGCGGCAGAGGGAGAUGGAAUUCCGCGUGUAGCAGUGAAAUGCGUAGAUAUGCGGAGGAACACCGAUGGCGAAGGCAAUCUCCUGGGCCUGCACUGACGCUCAUGCACGAAAGGCGUGGGGAGCAAACAGG